AACGAACGCUGGCGGCAUGCCUAACACAUGCAGGUCGAACGAAGGCUUCGGCCUUAGUGGCGCACGGGUGCGUAACGCGUGGGGAUCUGCCCUUUGCUUCGGAAUAACAGUUAGAAAUGACUGCUAAUACCGGAUGAUGUCGUAAGACCAAAGAUUUAUCGGCAAAGGAUGAACCCGCGUAGGAUUAGCUAGUUGGUGGGGUAAAGGCCUACCAAGGCGACGAUCCUUAGCUGGUCUGAGAGGAUGAUCAGCCACACUGGGACUGAGACACGGCCCAGACUCCUACGGGAGGCAGCAGUGGGGAAUAUUGGACAAUGGGCGAAAGCCUGAUCCAGCAAUGCCGCGUGAGUGAUGAAGGCCUUCGGGUUGUAAAGCUCCUUUACCAGGGAUGAUAAUGACAGUACCUGGAGAAUAAGCUCCGGCUAACUCCGUGCCAGCAGCCGCCGUAACAC
rnacentral:rRNA from 1 species